CGCUGGCGGCGUGCCUAAUACAUGCAAGUCGAACGGCUUUUCUAUGGAAGCUUGCUUCCACUGAGAAGAUAGUGGCGAACGGGUGAGUAACACGUGGGUAACCUGCCCAUAAGAGGGGGAUAACAUCCGGAAACGGGUGCUAAUACCGCAUAGUUUUCUUGAUCGCAUGAUUGAGAAAGGAAAGACGGCCUUUGUGCUGUCGCUUAUGGAUGGACCCGCGGCGUAUUAGUUAGUUGGUGAGGUAACGGCUCACCAAGACGAUGAUACGUAGCCGACCUGAGAGGGUGAUCGGCCACAUUGGGACUGAGACACGGCCCAAACUCCUACGGGAGGCAGCAGUAGGGAAUCUUCCGCAAUGGACGAAAGUCUGACGGAGCAACGCCGCGUGAGUGAAGAAGGUUUUUCCGGAUCGUAAAACUCUGUUGUCAGAGAAGAACAAGUUGGAGAGUAACUGCUCCAGCCUUGACGGUAUCUGACCAGAAAGCCACGGCUAACUACGUGCCAGCAGCUGC
rnacentral:rRNA from 1 species